GUGCUUGCUUCGGCAGCACAUAUACCAAAAUGGGAACAAUACAUAGAAGAAUAGUAUAACACCUGCACAAGGAUGACACGAAAAUUCAUGAAGCGUUCCAUAUUUUC
rnacentral:snRNA from 1 species